CAUCUAAGCACGAAACUUGCCCCGAGAUGAGUUCUCCCUGACUCCCUGAGAGUCCUGAAGGAACGUUGAAGACGACGACGUUGAUAGGCCGGGUGUGUAAGCGCAGCGAUGCGUUGAGCUAACCGGUACUAAUGAACCGUGAGGCUUAACCUUACAACGCCGAAG
rnacentral:rRNA from 1 species